AGAAGAAAUCAACGUCAAAAUUAUUCACAGCGUGAGCGUGCUUAUUGAUAGUGCUAAAACUAUAGACUGCAUUAAAAAGAGUUAUGAAAGGAAGUGGUGAUUAAAGACAUUGUUUUCAUGUACACUUACAUGUAAUCAUGUAUAUCAUUUGAAAUUAAUUAUUUAAUAUUCUGAUUUGACUACUCUUGGUAAAGAAAUAAACUUCAUUUAGAAC
rnacentral:misc_RNA from 1 species